GCCUCGGGCACGGGAAAUGGCUGGGUAAAACCGGGCUGCCCCGGACUGGGGCUUCACCUAUUUUCAUGGAAUAAGGACUGAUAUGGAGCUAGGAAGCCAUGAAUCCCCCUUGACUAAUGCUGGGAACAAGGCCGCUCUACUCCCAUGAUCUUUCUUCUAAGUCCACUUUAACUCUCUCAUUUUUAUUUCUAAUUUUAUUUGCUGUCAUUGUUAUCUUAAUUCUCAUUUUCCUUGAUUGUUGAUUUAUUUUUAUUUAUUUAUAUUUAUUACUAUUAUUUUUACUGUUGAUCAUUAUUCAUUUC